rnacentral:tRNA from 1 species
UCCCUGGUGGUCCAGUGGUUAAGACUCUGUGCUUCCAAUGCAGAGGGCACAGGUUCGAUCCCUGGUUGGGGAA